rnacentral:rRNA from 1 species
UACGUAGGGUGCGAGCGUUGUCCGGAAUUAUUGGGCGUAAAGGGCUCGUAGGCGGUUUGUCGCGUCGGGAGUGAAAACACCGGGCUUAACUCGGUGCUUGCUUUCGAUACGGGCAGACUAGAGGUAUGCAGGGGAGAACGGAAUUCCUGGUGUAGCGGUGAAAUGCGCAGAUAUCAGGAGGAACACCGAUGGCGAAGGCAGUUCUCUGGGCCGUAACUGACGCUGAGGAGCGAAAGCGUGGGGAGCGAACAGG